rnacentral:tRNA from 1 species
CCUGGUGGCUCAGAUGGUAAAGCAUCUGCCUACAAUGCAGGAGACCCGGGUUUGAUCCCUGGGUCAGGA